rnacentral:sRNA from 1 species
UAAUGUUUUGGUUCUUGGUCACCACAACAUGAGGAAUGUAUUGAAGGGUCUCAGCAUUUGGAAGGCUGAGAACCACUAGUAGAGAAAGGACAGUUAGACCAGUUCCAGGAGCCAGACAAGAGGGGAGGGGAAGAGAGGAUAGUGACUUUUAGGCAACAGAAACUGCUAAGUGGGGUGCAAACAGAGUAGCACAAAGGCUCCUCGGGCUAGAAGCACAGCAGGAUCCCGAAUAGGAGGGGCCAUCCUAGAGGCCAUUUUCUUAUAGCUGAGAAGUGGGAAAAGAGGGGAUGUGCCUGCUGGUCCCUCCUGCCUAACAGGAGUUAAAUUCAUCGGGAGUAAACUGGAAAUUAGAAAGAUUUAACAAAACUAACUGAUGGUCUUUUGUAGAAGGAUACCGUUGUGGGGGCUGAGGAUGUAGCUCUAGUGUGAGGUUUGGUCUGCUGCUAUGUAUUGUAAUGCUGAACACUGGCCCCCACCAAGCUCAGUUGCCUCAAGGAUCAGAGAAUCUUCCUGCUGACUCAGGUGACACUGUGUGACCUGCCCCCCAAGUUAUCCCUGAUUGGUACCCUGGCUGUAUCAGAGCAGAGUAAGCAGAAGAUGGAGAACUCGGCUCCUCCAGCACCACGCCUGCCUAGAUGCUGCCUGGAUGCUGCCUGGAUGCUGCCCUGCUCCCGCCUUGAUGAUAAUGGACUGACCCUCUGAACCUGGCAGGUGUGAAACCCAGUCUGUGAACAACCCUUGAGGUCCUCAUCUUGGCUUUGCUGGCAUCCAGCUCUUGCAGCUGCUCAUCCAGUUCCAUGAACAUCUCACGCUCCAGAUCCUCCCGACCUAACUAAGCGCUCUGCCCCCUCUCCAGAUGAGUCAUCUUCAAAGACUGUGAUCCAUAUUGGCUGUUCCUGAAAAACUCUUUGGCUGAGUGCUUUCCACAUAGCUCAGGUUGGUCUCAAAGUCAUGGCUAUCCUCCUGCCUCAGAUCCUCCAGUGACUGGAUUACAGGCAUGUGCCACAUGGCACAACUUGGCCUGUUGUUUUGUUUUGUUUUGUUUUUGGUACUGGGGAUUGAACCCAGACCUUUUUUGCACAUGCUAGCCAAGCAAUCUAUUCUUUUCUUUUUUAUGGAUGUGUGUGGUUACCUACGUAAGGAUGUGUGUGCAGGAGCGACAGAGGUCAGAAGAGAGCACCACAUCCCCUGGAACUGGAGUUACAGGCAGAUGCAAGCUGCCAUCUUGGUGCUGGAAAUAAAUAUGCAACUUCUAUAAGAGCAGUACGUACUCUUAAUGGCUGAGCUCUCUUGAGUCCCCUGCUUGGAUUUUUUAAAAACUAAUUUUAUUAGAGAAUACAUUACUUCCUUUCAGACCUAUGAGGAUAUGCCUUUUGCAAAGCAUUUCCUUUAUCCCUCUCCAGAAGAGAAAAGGAAACAGAAGUGGGGGCUGAUACAGAACUCCAACUCCUAUUAAUGGAUGCAAAGUACCCAGGAUGUCAUAAAAUGAGCCCAGUCUUCGGCCAUAAACAAAAGGCAGUCUUGUGUGUUGGCUGCUGCAUUGCCCUGUCAGCCUACAGAAGGAAAAGGAAGGCUGGCCGUUCCGCAGGACACAGCACUAAAAGCACCCUGGUUCAAGAUGAGUGGGAAGCCAUCCCAGUAAACACAUCAUGAAUUUAAAACAAAACAGCAUUACUUCAAAUGAGAUAAUUUUUAAAUAUAUAUUUUGAUGAAUUUGA